GAUUCAUCGGCUGCGGAUGGCCAUGCGGCGCAUUAGCUAGUCGGCGGGGUAACGGCCCACCGAGGCGACGAUGCGUAGGGGUUCUGAGAGGAAGGUCCCCCACACUGGUACUGAGACACGGACCAGACUCCUACGGGAGGCAGCAGUGAGGAAUAUUGGUCAAUGGCCGGGAGGCUGAACCAGCCAAGUCGCGUGAGGGAAGACGGCCCUACGGGUUGUAAACCUCUUUUGUCAGGGAGCAAGAGGCGGGUCGAGACCUGCUGUGAGAGUACCUGAAGAAAAAGCAUCGGCUAACUCCGUGCCAGCAGCCGCGGUAAUACGGAGGAUGCGAGCGUUAUCCGGAUUUAUUGGGUUUAAAGGGUGCGCAGGCGGAGGCACAAGUCAGCGGUAAAAUCGCGGGGCUCAACCCCGCUCCGCCGUUGAAACUGUGUCCCUUGAGUGCGCGAAGGGUAGGCGGAAUGCGUGGUGUAGCGGUGAAAUGCAUAGAUAUCACGCAGAACUCCGAUCGCGAAGGCAGCCUACCGGCGCGCAACUGACGCUCAUGCACGGAAGCGUGGGUAUCGAACAGGAUUAGAUACCCUGGUAGUCCACGCAGUAAACGAUGAAUGCUAUCUGUCCGGCCGGAAUGACGGCUGG
rnacentral:rRNA from 1 species